CUUGGAGAGUAGACAUUGUGUGUUUCUCCCCUUCCCUCUCUAUCCCUGUCCCUGCCCCCGCUCCCUCUGAGUCACAGGAGGCCACAUUUCCAGCUAGAAGUCAGCAUCAGAGCCAAGCAGCUGUUCAGAAACGUCCAAGUGGACAGAAAAUGGCGGUGAUGGAGUUAAUGGCCGAGGCAGCGAAACAGGGAAGAAAAGGGAGGAAACUAGAACCCAAAGCUGAGGAUUCCUGGCCAGCGCUAUGGAUUGUGUCUGGGUGAAAGUGUUAGCUCACAACAAGAUUCAUUAAAUCAUCAUGUUGCAUUUACUUCCCCCCG
rnacentral:lncRNA from 1 species